ensembl:lncRNA
CUCUCCCUGUUCGGGUGGUGCUCGGCGCACGGCGUCGCCGGCCUACUAGCCAUCACCGAUCCUUUUUUCCUUUUCCGUUUGUUUUGUCUUUGGUUCUUUCACACCUGGUUUCAUUUGCUUUAAUUUCUGUGUGUAUAAUUACCCCUGUUGCCUGCUAAGGUUUGUGCGACAUUAUUCGUGUCAUGUUUCUUGUCGAGGUUGUGCCUUGUUUAUUUUCACGUUUUAUACCGAGUGUGUAUCAGUUUAAGGAGCGUUGUUUUCCUCCUUCCAAAUGCUACUCGGAACAUCUCUGCUUUCCUGCGCUUGACUCCUUCACCUACCUCUAAACACAGUCUCGUAACAACCGUGUCAUUUUAAGAGAAGAGAAGACAUCACUUGGCGCAGAGUCAGCAGAGUCCACACCGCUGUUCAACCCGACUUGCUUACCUCAAUUAUUCACAUCUUAUGAAUAACGCACAUUACCAGAGAUGGCGACAGGGAUAUUUUU